UAGAGUUUGAUCCUGGCUCAGGAUGAACGCUGGCGGCGUGCCUAAUACAUGCAAGUCGAGCGAACAGAUAAGGAGCUUGCUCCUUUGAAGUUAGCGGCGGACGGGUGAGUAACACGUGGGUAACCUACCUAUAAGACUGGGAUAACUUCGGGAAACCGGAGCUAAUACCGGAUAACAUUUAGAACCGCAUGGUUCUAAAGUGAAAGAUGGUUUUGCUAUCACUUAUAGAUGGACCCGCGCCGUAUUAGCUAGUUGGUAAGGUAACGGCUUACCAAGGCGACGAUACGUAGCCGACCUGAGAGGGUGAUCGGCCACACUGGAACUGAGACACGGUCCAGACUCCUACGGGAGGCAGCAGUAGGGAAUCUUCCGCAAUGGGCGAAAGCCUGACGGAGCAACGCCGCGUGAGUGAUGAAGGGUUUCGGCUCGUAAAACUCUGUUAUUAGGGAAGAACAAAUGUGUAAGUAACUGUGCACUCCUUGUACGGUACCUA
rnacentral:rRNA from 1 species